UGGCUCAGACAGUAAAAGAAUCUGCCUGCAAUGCAGAAGACCCAGGUUCAAUCCCUGG
rnacentral:tRNA from 1 species